UGUCCGAGUGGUUAAGGAGGUGGACUAGAAAUCCACUGGGCUCUGCCCGCGCAGGUUCGAAUCC
rnacentral:tRNA from 1 species